rnacentral:rRNA from 1 species
GUGGGGAAUAGUGCACAAUGGGGGAAACCCUGAUGCAGCGACGCCGCGUGAGUGAAGAAGUAUUUCGGUACGUAAAGCUCUAUCAGCAAGGAAGAAAAUGACGGUACUUGACUAAGAAGCCCCGGCUAACUACGUGCCAGCAGCCGCGGUAAUACGUAGGGGGCAAGCGUUAUCCGGAUUUACUGGGUGUAAAGGGAGCGUAGACGGUAUGGUAAGUCAGAUGUGAAAGCCCGGGGCUCAACCCCGGGACUGCAUUUGAAACUAUCAGACUAGAGUGCAGGAGAGGUAAGUGGAAUUCCUAGUGUAGCGGUGAAAUGCGUAGAUAUUAGGAGGAACACCAGUGGCGAAGGCGGCUUACUGGACUGUAACUGACGUUGAGGCUCGAAAGCGUGGGGAGCAAACAGGAUUAGAAACCCCGGUAGUCC